rnacentral:ncRNA from 1 species
CCUGCGAAGUACGAGAGGAACCGCAGGUUCGGACAGUUGGUUGGCGCACUUGGUCGAGCGGCCAGUGGUGCGAGGCUACGUCCGGAUGAUUAUACCUGAAGGCCUCUGAAGGUAGAAUCGAUGCUGGAGGAAGGCAAUGAUACGCAGCGUCUUUUGACUCGUUUCGACGUUUUAUCUGGGUGGCUAUAACGAGACCCGUCUCGGUUAGAGAUUAAAACUCGCUCCAUCAGCGAGGGGGUUCCGGCCUUUUCGUUUCGUUUCGGACGAAUGCCUGGUCGGCGCUUCAUUCUCGAGCCGCGGUUUUCAGAGGGGAGGUUCGCUGACGGCUAUGCUGGGUAUCCGCUACGGGAAUGCCAGUCAUGCUCCGGUUCGCCUCUUUCUUUUUACCCGACUAAAGUAAGCGCAGCUGCAAAGUUGCGCGAGAACCCAGAGGUCAGACGCCAAAUCAUUUGUAGACGACUCGAGUGCCGGCCGGGGUGUUGUACACGGUAGAGCAGUCCAAAUUCACACUGCGAUCUUUUGAGACUCAGCCCUUCAAAUGAGACCGGAAGAUUUGU